rnacentral:rRNA from 1 species
UGUGUGUUAGUGGAAGCGUCUGGAAAGGCGCGCGAUACAGGGUGACAGCCCCGUACACAAAAAUGCACAUGCUGUGAGCUCGAUGAGUAGGGCGGGACACGUGGUAUCCUGUCUGAAUAUGGGGGGACCAUCCUCCAAGGCUAAAUACUCCUGACUGACCGAUAGUGAACCAGUACCGUGAGGGAAAGGCGAAAAGAACCCCGGCGAGGGGAGUGAAAAAGAACCUGAAACCGUGUACGUACAAGCAGUGGGAGCACGCUUAGGCGUGUGACUGCGUACCUUUUGUAUAAUGGGUCAGCGACUUAUAUUCUGUAGCAAGGUUAACCGAAUAGGGGAGCCGAAGGGAAACCGAGUCUUAACUGGGCGUUAAGUUGCAGGGUAUAGACCCGAAACCCGGUGAUCUAGCCAUGGGCAGGUUGAAGGUUGGGUAACACUAACUGGAGGACCGAACCGACUAAUGUUGAAAAAUUAGCGGAUGACUUGUGGCUGGGGGUGAAAGGCCAAUCAAACCGGGAGAUAGCUGGUUCUCCCCGAAAGCUAUUUAGGUAGCGCCUCGUGAAUUCAUCUCCGGGGGUAGAGCACUGUUUCGGCAAGGGGGUCAUCCCGACUUACCAACCCGAUGCAAACUGCGAAUACCGGAGAAUGUUAUCACGGGAGACACACGGCGGGUGCUAACGUCCGUCGUGAAGAGGGAAACAACCCAGACCGCCAGCUAAGGUCCCAAAGUCAUGGUUAAGUGGGAAACGAUGUGGGAAGGCCCAGACAGCCAGGAUGUUGGCUUAGAAGCAGCCAUCAUUUAAAGAAAGCGUAAUAGCUCACUGGUCGAGUCGGCCUGCGCGGAAGAUGUAACGGGGCUAAACCAUGCACCGAAGCUGCGGCAGCGACGCUUAUGCGUUGUUGGGUAGGGGAGCGUUCUGUAAGCCUGCGAAGGUGUGCUGUGAGGCAUGCUGGAGGUAUCAGAAGUGCGAAUGCUGACAUAAGUAACGAUAAAGCGGGUGAAAAGCCCGCUCGCCGGAAGACCAAGGGUUCCUGUCCAACGUUAAUCGGGGCAGGGUGAGUCGACCCCUAAGGCGAGGCCGAAAGGCGUAGUCGAUGGGAAACAGGUCAAUAUUCCUGUACUUGGUGUUACUGCGAAGGGGGGACGGAGAAGGCUAUGUUGGCCGGGCGACGGUUGUCCCGGUUUAAGCGUGUAGGCUGGUUUUCCAGGCAAAUCCGGAAAAUCAAGGCUGAGGCGUGAUGACGAGGCACUACGGUGCUGAAGCAACAAAUGCCCUGCUUCCAGGAAAAGCCUCUAAGCAUCAGGUAACAUCAAAUCGUACCC